CCUUAACCCACUGAGCAAGGCCAGGAAUUAAACCUGCGUCCUCAUGGAUGCUAGUCAGAUGAGCCAGGUGGGAACUCCCAAUAAUUGUAUUUCUUACUAUAUAUUCUGGACAAAUUCCUACACAUGUACAAAGUGGUAUGAACAGGAAUGUUCACAGGAUUAUCUGAAAUGCAAAAUGAAGAGAAAAAUUGAAACAACCUAAACAACCGAUCAAAACCAUUAAAUAAAUUAUGGCAUGUUCAUAACCAUGGAUAAUUUGGAGCUGUUUAAAAAAAAGAGGUGAAACUUAUCGACUGCUAUGGAAAAAAUAUGUAAGGCAUACUUUUUGGUGAAGAAUCAAGUUUCAGACUGAUGUGUUCAGUGUAUAAUAUAAUGCAUAUAUGCUCAUAUUUAGAAAGUGAUACUAUGUAUCUAAUGCAGAAAUGGAAAAAAGUACUGGAGAAAUGUACACACAAGUGUUAUUUGGUGAGACCUGAAGAGUGUUCUCAGUUUGGGUGUGGCUUUUAAAAAAUGGUUUUAAGCUUUCUUCUAGUACUUUAAUAUUUUCAAAGAGCCUAUGUACAUAUGUAUAUGUGUGCAUUUUUAUAACGUAAUAUGUUUUAUUAAUAUAAUAUAUAUUUAAAAUAUGUGUAUAUACAUUUAACUUGUAGUUCUAAAAGAUGGGAAAUUUCUUUUAGAAGUACAAAUUUUUUUAGUUUUAAUAAUCAUCUUUAAUUAAGAACAGACAAAACCAGAGGGUAGUGGGGAAUCCAUGAAAGAAAAAGCUCCUAAAUUAAGACUUGAUAUGGAGCUAAAUUUAAAACUUAAAAAUUAGGUUUGGAAGAAUUCACGGAAUAGAAAAAUACAGGUCAAGUCCUUAUUGCAAGAUUGUUCAGCAUUUUGAUAGUACACAUUUCAUCUUGAUUAACUAAAGUGAGGCUAAGAGACCACUAAAAUUGACUAUGUUGUAUUUUUGUUCACUUCUUAUUGAAUUGCCAUUAAAGUACAGUAAUUUUCAGCCCGUCAAUAUAUCUUGAACUAGUAAUUUGGGAACAAGCAGGAAUAUAAUGAUUGUGCAUGCUAAAACAGCAAUAGAUAUUUUAUAGCUUCAUCAAAUAGAUUUUUAUUAGUAACCUCUUAUUGUGAUAUUUUUCCUUGAGCUCUUCAUUUGGGUCCUAAAUCUAGUUUAGUUUAUUCGUUGUUGCUUCAGUUUGAUAUCGAAAUAGCUGUAAAAAUAAGUUUAUAUCAUAGUCCUUACAAGUGCAAAUAUUAAGGCAGUUUAGAGAGGAACUUUAUAAUCAAUCCUGUUGCCUCUGUUAUUAUUUCAAAUAUUUCUCAAAAUAUUGAGGUUUGAUCAUAGCUGAAAACAUUGUCAUGUGAAUGUAAACAUUUUUAAAAGACAUUUCUAGUUAAUUUAAACAUUCUAUUGUAAAAGUCCUCUCUUGAACUUGGCAGUUUUAAGGCUGUGACAAAAUUAUUUUGUUAAAAUACAAAAGAAUAUAAAUUGGGGAGUAAUUUUUUUCCAUAGAGAAUACCAUCAGGAAUUUAGACUAUGCUAAAACAUUGCCAACAAGGGAUUGUGCAGAUAUCAUAUCUCAUUUUUAAAAAGAAGACAGUCUUCCUCAACAGUGCUCUGGCUUCUUAGAUUCACCUCCACAUUAAAUUGUGUUUUAAUGUUGGAUUAGCUCUGGGAAUCAACACUAAAUGACACAGCUGCUCCCAGUGCAGGUCUGCUCUGAAACUGCAGGAUCUGACCCAGCAGAGGGAUGCAUAGGAACGUGAGAAGCCAAGCAUUAGAAAAUAAACAGAAGCAUCUUUGGUACUUCAAAAAAAAUUUUUUUUUCCAUAUAGAAAAAUCUUUAUCCAGACCUUUCUUAGAAGAUCAUGUUGGUGAACUGGCUAAUAGCAAAAACCUUGCAAUCAGAUGAAUCUCAGUUGAACUCUGGCUACAUGAUCAUAAACACUUUCUGUUAACUCUUUAAACCAGACUUGUAAAAUGAUGAUAACAAUACCCACUUAAAGGUUACUGUGAUAAUUGAAUGAGACAGACCUGUAAAGCACUUAGCACCUGGUAUAUAAUAGAUGUACAAAUUACCAUUUCACAGUCUAGGCUACCAACAUUGUAAAAUGCACCAUUAUUUUAUGUACUACAGUUAAAGACUCUAAACUAUGAUACCAUUGAGAAGCAUCUCCGUUUCAGAAAGGUUAACUCUCAAAAAUACUUGUAUUAGAACACAUGAGGAAGUUCUCAUUGUGGCUCAGUGGGUUAAGAACUGGACAGUGUCUGGGAGGACACAGGUUCAAUCCCUGGCCCCACUUGGUGGGUCAAGUAUCCAAUGUUGCUGCAAUCUGCCACACAGGUCAUAGAUGCGGCUUGGAUCUGAUGUUGCCAUGGCUGUGGUGUAAGCCUUAGCUGCUUCUCUGAUUUGACUCCCAGCCUGGGAACUUCCCACAUGCUGCAGGUGUGGCCGUGAAAAGGAAAGUGAACUACAUGAAAUACAGUGAUGGCCUCUUUUAUCAGAGUGUUGUUUACCCUAAAAUCGUAUUGUACACGUGUCCUUCACAUUCAGUCUUCAAUAUAUCUUUAAUAAGUAUUUAUUUUCUUAAACAUUUCUUUGUAUUGGAAUAUAUAAAAAUAAUGAGAUAACGUUUCUUUUUUUUGGAAAUAAUGUAUAAUUUUAUUUGGAGAGACAAAUAUGCAUUAGUCAUAUGGUAGCUCAGCUCCUUAAACAAGAGUAGCUUGUAUGACUUACUCUUUGACCAAGGGUCAUCCCACCUAAGCUUGGACAUCUCCUGAUUACAACCUUGGUUCAACAAACAUAUCCUAUCUUUCUUUUUGUUUAGUUGCGUAAUACUUUUAAAUGUUUUUUUCCCACUAUAGUCGGCUUAUAGUAUUCUGUCAAUUUCUACUGUACAGCAAAGUGACCCAAUCACACAUAUAUAUACAUUAUUUUUCUAAUAUUAUCCAUCAUAAGUGACUAGAUAUAGUAGUUCCCGGUGCUGUAUAGCAGGAUCGCAUUGCUUAUCCACUCCAAAUGAAAUAGUUUGCAUCUAUUAACCCUGUCCUAUUAACCCUGUCCUAUCUUUCCAUCUCUGGCUAAAUCUAGUUUUUAGAAUGUUGUUAUUCCUUUCGUUGUAGUGAAUCUAUGUCUCAGAAAGCCAACAUGUAAUCUUAGUUCUUUCCUUAGUCACCCAUAAUAUUAACUAACUGUCCUACAUUUUGGUCUGACAAAAAUUAGGUAACUAUUUUGUCUAAUUUCUCUUCAAAAAAACUUGUCUCUUCUUUGCAUGGUAGGAAUAACUUUUUCUAAAAGCUCCCUGUAUACUAGACAGUGCUCUGUAUCAUAGAGGUGGUUUACUUCAUGUAACCCUUCAAUAAUCCUUCAGGUUUAACACAUACUGUUGACCUCCUAAUCUUAUGGCGGAAGAAAUGGCUACAGAGAAAGUAAGUUACCCUCCUCAGGUUUCCAUGGUGAUAGAGGUGGAGCAAGGAUCCAGCCCCAGGUCUCUCACUGUUGAGGAAACAUUAUUUACUAGAUGGUUGUGCUGCUUUCUAAAAUAGUAUCACUCCCUCAGAGGUUCCUCACAAUUGGUAUUAUACUUCUUGGGAUAUAUUGUAGUUAAUAAAUGUCCUUCUUAAAGUAUAGCAUUUCAGUCAGGUAACAGCUCUUCAGAGUGGCCUGAUGCUGUGUGGGUGAAGGAAGCCUAUUCCCAGCCUUGGCAUUAGGCAGUAGCAUUCUGUGACUUAAAGUUUAUAAUUGCUUCUUAAGCAUAUCCAGCAUGAGGCUCUUUGUGAGUGUUCAAACGAAAACCUUAAGAUCUUAUUCUGUCAGUGUUUGUCAAAUUUUGUAGCUUCCAUCUUUUAGCUUAGACCAUUGUUUGAUCAUUUUUUCCAUCUACUUUUUGAAGCAAUGUAGAAAUUGGCAUUUGUGCUUAUUAAAGUUUAUGGUGCAUGUGAGGAGUUGUGAAAUCUGGAAACCUAAAAUUUAUUCCCCAAUGUGUUAUUCUUCCUGGGAAUAGUUAAUAUGCAAGGUUUUAUAUUUCAUUUAUUUUUACGAUUAUAUAUUUAUUCACUAUAGGAAUUUAGGACAUUUUCAAAAAUAACUCAGCCUCUGAGGCAUCAGUACUCUGUGGUUGAGUACAAACUGCUACAUAAUUCUGCAUAUCUCUGCUUUGCUAGAUCAGAAAGCCAUGUGGCCAUUUGUUGGAGGAAACUGUUUGUGCCUAACAUAUUGUUGCCAUUAGGAAGACUAGAUGAUCUCUGAAGUUACUGGUAAAAGUUCUGACAAUCCCUAUAGUCUGAUGAUAGGCUUCAUAGAGCAUACCUUUUUAAAGUACUGGCUUACAUCAUCCUUGUUUGUGUGUACCUUUUUUUUAGGACUGCCACAUGGAAGUUCCUGGGCUAAGGGUCGAAUCAGAGCUGCAGCUGCCAGCCUACACCACAGCCACAGCAAUAUAGGAUCUGAGCCGUGUCUGCGACCUAUACCACAGUUCACUGCAGCUGGAUCUUUAACCCACUGAGCGAGAUCAGGGAUAGAACCCGCAUCCUCAUAGGUACUACUCAGGUUUGUUACCACUGAGCCACAAUGGGAAUUCCCCUAGCUUACAUCAUUCUUGAUGAUUACAAUCAUUUAAAGUAGUAUCACCAUACAUUGAUAAUAAACCUGCUUCUCUAAUGGGUAUUUUUAACUUCUGAGAUCUGGGAGAUCUGGGACUCGAUCACAGUCUUCUGCAAAGUAAUACACUUUAGGAUUUAAUAAAUAUCAACAUAUCAGUGUUCAUUCUUUGCAUUGAAAGUUCAUAUAUUCCUCUAAUAACUUAAAGUUGAUUUUUCUGAACAUAAACUAGAUCAUGCUCUUUGCUGAGAAUGGGGAGCAGAAUUUCAAGUAGUCAAGACAGGUGUCUGUGGAGUUUUCCCUCUAAGGAUUUAGCAUUUCCUGCAUCUUUGUUUCUUGUUUUCCUUCUUGAUAAAACCUAGUGUUUAGUCUUUAUGCUUUAUUGCAGAAGUACAUUUGUCUCAUAUCUUUAGGGAAUACUUUAUAAUGAAUUAUCACUAUGAAACAUAACUGAUGGUACAAAACCAAUCCCUCUACUCCUUUGGGUCAGUUUGCCAAAAAAGCAUUACCUUAGUUUUACCCAAAGUGACACUCACAUGCUCCCAUGGCUUCCUGAAUUUUCCCCUAUUGAUUCACAUUUUACCACUUGAAGAGCUUUAUGUGAAUCUGAAAACACAUAGAUUUCUCUGUGUAAUUCCUUUUUUGAUCAUUUAAACAGUUAAAUAAUUUUUUUGUCAUUGAGAAUUACCAACAUUAACUUUUCUCUGUUCAGAGAAGUACCUAUUUGUUUCAAUUUCUUGUCAUUUUUCAGAUGUCAACAAAUGUUUACCCAAGAAGAUACAUUUUUAUCCAAAUAGAAUCAAUUGAUUUUAGGACCUUAGAAGUCAUUUGUUUCUGAAUCUGCCCAAUGACUGGCUUCAGCUGAAAUACAAGGAAACCUCAAGGGCUUCUCUCUAAGGCAAAUCUUUUACCUUUAGGCAGUAUUGUCUGCUGGUUGACUUUAACCAAGAAGACAUUAUUGAAAAGUUCUUAGUUAAAUUCUUUUUAAAUAAAUUAGAGUUUGUUUAAAUAGUUCAAUUUUCUCAUAUAUUUAGGAUGCAUAUACAUUAAAUUUGCAUACAUUUGAGUGAGUCUAGAGUCUAAAAUAAUGUUAUCUAUUGCCAUGUGAUUUGUGAGAAAAUCUCAUUUCUUUGCAGGUAUAUAUUUUAUUUUUAUUCAGAAAUCUUGCUGUGUCUAAAUUACUCUUAAAGAACCACUCUAUUUCUCUAUUUAGUGAGCUAAAGCAGCAUGAUCGGCUAUAAAGAGCAAAGGGGCCAAGAAACGGUAACUUUUAUAUCCCAUUCUUGCUACUUGCCAACUCUGGAAAGCACAUUAGCCACCCUGAGCUUCAGUUUGUUCUUAGAUAAAUUAUAAGAGUAAUAACAUUAAUAUGUAUCCUGUCCAAGUCAGGUUAAUCGUGUGGAUCUUAUAUGUGAAUAUCCUUUGGAAAAUGGGAAACCUAUUUUAUUAUAUUUAAUAAAGAAACACCAGUACAUUUGUAAAGUACAUGUAAUGAAUUGUUUUACACAAGGCAAAGAAGCAUGCUUAUUAAGUCAGAAUGCCCUGAAUCUUUUAGAUUUCACAUGAGAACAUUAUAGUUCAUUUUAAAAUUGAUGUUGUAUUUUUAAAAAUCAAGGGUGGCCUGGAUAAUCUAGCCAUGCUAUAAAUCAUAAUAUAUGAGAAAUUAAAACCAACCCUCUAGUCUGGCACUGUUUUCCUAGGAGUUUGUUUUGGAAAGCAGCAGCCAAUUACUAAACUGUCAGUUAAUUGGUUUUCUCUCUCAUGGGAAGUGCUAGAGGUUGGGAUUGGUCAUUUUAGGAAAAUAGUAAAUAUCACAAUUUCUAGGAUAAGCAAAUAGAAACACAUGUGGACAGUUACUUAAAGAGUUCUGUCCCAGCCUAAGUUCCUUAGAAACAGAGCUUAUUAUAUGCUAAAAUUUUAUUGGGGAUGCAAUCCCAUGGAAGCAGAAGUAGGGGGAAUGGGAAAUGGAAAGAGAAAGAAGAGAAAACAGUCACAGUGGAACAUGCCAGCUUGGCCACAGAGUCUCAAGGAAACAAUCAAUUCUUGGGUCACAUGUGAGGUCUCAAGAAAGGAUAGAAUCACAUCUACUUGCUGGCUCCUCUUCCUUUCUGUCCUUUGUCUCUCAUCGGUCAAAAUCCGACCCAAAAGAUGUUGAUUCCUCC
rnacentral:lncRNA from 1 species